rnacentral:rRNA from 1 species
GAGUUCGAUUCUGGCUCAGAUUGAACGCUGGCGUGGAUGCUUUACACAUGCAAGUCGAACGGCAGCACGGACUCUUUGGUCUGGUGGCGAGUGGCGAACGGGGUGAGUAAUGUAUCGGAACGUGCCUAGUAGCGGGGAUAACUACGCGAAAAGCGUAGCUAAUACCGCAUACGCCCUUCGGGGGAAAGCGGGGGACCUUCGCCUCGCACUAUUAGAGCGGCCGAUAUCGGAUUAGCUAGUUGCGGGGUAACGGCUCACCAAGGCGACGAUCCGUAGCUGGUCGGAGAGGACGACCAGCCACACUGGGACUGGAGACGGCCCAGACUCCUACGGGAGGCAGCAGUGGGGAAUUUUGGACAAUGGGGAAACCCUGAUCCAGCCAUCUCGCGUGUGCGAUGAAGGCCUUCGGGUUGUAAAGCACUUUUGGCAGGAAGAAACGGCAUCACGGGAUAAUACUCCGUGCAACUGACGGUACCUGCAGAAUAAGCACCAAGCAACCACGCCAGCAGCCGCGGUAAUACGUAGGGUAAGCGUUAAUCGGAAUUACUGGCGCAAAGGCAGGCGGUUCGGAAAAGAUGUGAAAUCCCAGAGCUUAACUUUGGAACUGCAUUUUUAACUACCGAGCUAGAGUGUCAGAGGGAGGUGGAAUUCGUGUGUAGCAGCAAAUGCAGAGAGAGGUGGAGGAACACUGAUGGCGAAGGGCAGCUUCCUGGGAUAACACUGACGCUCAUGCACGAAAGCGUGGGGAGCAAACAGGAUUAGAUACCCUGGUAGUCCACGCCCUAAACGAUGUCAACUAGCUGCUGGGGUUUUCUGGCCUCGGUAGUGCAGCUAACGCGGUGAAGUUGACCGCCCGGGAGUACGGUCGCAAGAUUAAACUCAAAGGAAUUGACGGGGACCUACAAGCGGUGGGAUGAGAUGUGAUUUCAAUUCGAUGCAACGCGAAAAACCUUACCUACCCUUGAUGGUGUCUGGAAUCCUGAAGGAUUUGGGAGUGCUCGCAAGAGAGAACCGGAACACAGGUGCUGUAAGGCGGGCUGUCGUCAGCUCGUGUCGUGAGAUGCAGCAGUUAAGUCCCGCAACGAGCACAAACCUGCUGCUGGCGAGCGCCAGUAGACUGACGAUCGUUGUAGGACAAACCGGAGGAUAGAUGACAGCCCAGGCUCUCAUGGGUAGGGCUUCGACGUCAUACAAUGGUCGGGACAGAGGGUCGCCAACCCGCGAGGGGGAGCCAAUCCCAGAAACCCGAUCGUAGUCCGGAUCGCAGUCUGCAACUUGAUCCGGUGUAGUCGGAAUCGCUAGUAAUCGCGGAUCAGGCAUGUCGCGGUGAAUACGUUCCCGGGUCUUGCAUGACAAUUCGCCCGUCACACCAUGGGAGUGGCUUACCAGAAGUAGUUAGCCUAACCGUAAGGAGGGAUUAGCCACGGCAGGGGAUCAUGACUGGGGUGAAGUCGUAACAAGGCAGCCCUGUUACUACCUG